CUAAAAGAGUGGCCCAAAACCCUGAAUGAAUCUCCAAUUGCUGAAGGACUCGGAAUCCCUCAAGCCUCCGCCUCUUUGCCGUCAUUCACUUCUUUUCUCCUCCGUCCCUGAACCUACUAACCUUUAUUAUUUCAAGCUUUCGGUCUCCCUGUUCCAACUGCAAGGUCAUCAAAACCAAUCCAUUCACUUUUCGCAUGAUGACCAACUCCGGCACUUCUUCGAUCCGGAUUCUCCUCGAACCACUUCGACAUUUUGUCAACUUAUCCGAUUCAAGCUCUCUUCGUCGCUCAUCCAUGGAGAAUCCCUCCAUUCCGGAUUCGUCCCAUGGUUUUCUUCCCUAAUCGAAAUCUGGGUAACAUGCAAAUAUCCCUUUCCUAAAUUCGAAACUAACCUAAACAGAAAAUCCGACAACCUCAACCAAACAUUCAAACAACAAGGUUCGGUCUCAGGGGUAAAAACCACAAGUGAUGAAAACGCACGAACGGUAGCGAUCGAAUCAUGAAGUCAAAGAUAAUCAAAACGUUUACGCCAUCAACCAAACUUAACGACGGUAGCAAUGCAACAUCAAAAAUAAAUACAUCAAGAUAGAACGAUUUUAACAGAAAAUCAAAAGCGUCAUGGUGUGAAUAUCAGACGUAUAAGGAAGAAGCACCAACCGCAGGGAGGUCGCUUCAAGCCUCGUUCUUUAGUUCUUCGGUUUUGGUUUCAGGUUCUGCUCUUCUUGUCCUCGUCUUUCCGUGAUAUGCUUCUACAAAAAUCGGGUUCCUUCUUUCUUUUGAUUGCUGCUUCACGUUUCCUCCUUCUUCUCUCAGUUCUUCUUGUCUGAGUAUCACUGCUCUGUUGUUGUUAAAGAGUAAUGGUGCCAAAAAUUUUCUCCCCUUCUCACAACAGAUGCAGUUCUCCUAUAGAGAGGUAGUACGAGGUCUGUGAGCUGGCGAAUCCAGUGAAUCAUUCGGUUAGGAAAAUGGAUUCUUCUUAGAUUUGCUGUGGUCCCUCAUGGACAGGUGGUACAAACAUUUUGUUUUUUAGUGAAAAUUGUAGCUAUUGUUCUAACCUUCAUUUCAUUCUUACCACCGUAAUUCUUGGUUUUGCUCAUGGUAAGAAAAACGUCUCCCUUUUUACUGUCAGGUAAUAUUCUUUGUCCAAUCGUGUACUGCUGAAUGGAUCAACACCUACAAUUUUUUGCAAUUCAUUUGCUCAUAGUAUGGUGUGCUUGCUGCCAGGACAAAGUUCAUUCGCCCCCCUGUUUUUUUAUAGAUAUUGCAAGAGAGCAUGAUAGUUUGGACACAUGGACUCUACCAUUGGCAUCAUGGUACUUUAGUAACCUGUCUUCCCUUGAGUAUUUGGCCAUGGAUGCUUAGGUAAUGAACUGGUAAUUUGUUGCAGCGGAAUUCUUGCUUGGUUUUCCUUAUGAGCAAUGAUGGAUUUCAUGAUUGAACCGGACCUGGAUUAGUCCUGCAUCAGGGCCUAGCAUUGGUACAACAUAGUGGUUGGUGUUAUUUAUGACAGCAAUUGGUAAAGGGCACAUCUUCUGUAACAAGCUUCUGGCUUAGUCUACAGCAUGAUCAUCGUUUCAUGGCAUUUAUUGCAACAUUGGUUGAAGCUUAAUGAUCAGGUGAUUGCUACCCAUUGAUGCCGUUUGGUUAGUUGUUGCAAGCUUGUGUUGAUUUUGCAGCAAGCUAUGGUAACAUGGUCGACUCACGUAUGCUGCUACACCCAUUUGGUCAUUGCAUAGUUUGAGAGAAAUGCAUCUGCAAGCUCCGAGGCUCUCCUCCCAAAUGCUACAGACCAUUGAACUCCUAAUGUGAGUAUUGUGCUUGUGGACUAUGAUGCAGACAUGCACCAAUAUUAGGAUCUGUGCUUGUAGAUCAUGACCUUCUUCAUUCUGUGGCUUGGACUUCAGGUUUGUAACGUUUUGCACCUAUUUUGGCUUAUUUAUGCGUGCACAAAUAACCGUUAUUGCGGUCAACAACAUCGUCUCGUGCUGCUUCAAUCAUGAUGAGCCAAGCGUAUUGGUUGUUUUCUUUGGCUCUACUCACUACUUUGAUAUUUCAAACACGCUACGGAUACUGACCUGUAAUUGCUUUUUGAUGCACUUGUGAUAUGCAGGUUUUUUUCCCUGCGCUGUUCUGAUGAAAACUAGGUGGUUCUGCAUCAAAUUCUUCCUGCAUUGCUUGUUGGUUAUUAGAGGUUGAAGGCUUGUUCAGGACGCUGCAGAUCUCGCGCUUUGACGCCUACUGGCUGUAUUCAAUCUUAUCUUGCUGCCUUUGUUUGUAACAUGUAGGGACUUAGAUUACGUUAUCAAGUCAUUUGGCCAUGCCUAAACAUGUCUGAUUUGUAUGCUGUAAUGUUAGUUUGAAAAAAAAAAUGAAACAAUGUAAUUUUAAUGUGUGAACAUGUUUUCCCCACAUACUGCACUUGCAGUUUCAAUCACAAACCAUAAUAAGCCAAGGAUCUUAUGGAAGAAUAACAACAGGAUGUGGGGUUCUUGGAUUUAUAUGGAUUUGGGAUUUUUGUGAUUCAA